rnacentral:rRNA from 1 species
AACGAACGCUGGCGGCAGGCUUAACACAUGCAAGUCGAGCGCCCCGCAAGGGGAGCAGCAGACGGGUGAGUGACGCGUGGGAAUCUACCCAUCUCUACGGAAUAACGCAUGGAAACGUGUGCUAAUACCGUAUACGUCCUUCGGGAGAAAGAUUUAUCGGAGAUGGAUGAGCCCGCGUUGGAUUAGCUAGUUGGUGGGGUAAAGGCCUACCAAGGCGACGAUCCAUAGCUGGUCUGAGAGGAUGAACAGCCACACUGGGACUGAGUCACGGCCCAGAAUCCUACGGGAGGCAGCAGUGGGGAAUAUUGGACAAUGGGCGCAAGCCUGAUCCAGCCAUGCCGCGUGAGUGAUGAAGGCCCUAGGGUUGUAAAGCUCUUUCACCGGUGAAGAUAAUGACGGUAACCGGAGAAGAAGCCCCGGCUAACUUCGUGCCAGCCGCCGCCGUAAUAC